GAUGAACGCUGGCGGCGUGCCUAAUACAUGCAAGUCGAGCGAACGGACGAGAAGCUUGCUUCUCUGAUGUUAGCGGCGGACGGGUGAGUAACACGUGGAUAACCUACCUAUAAGACUGGGAUAACUUCGGGAAACCGGAGCUAAUACCGGAUAAUAUUUUGAACCGCAUGGUUCAAAAGUAAAAGACGGUCUUGCUGUCACUUAGAGAUGGAUCCGCGCUGCAUUAGCUAGUUGGUAAGGUAACGGCUUACCAAGGCAACGAUGCAUAGCCGACCUGAGAGGGUGAUCGGCCAAACUGGAACUGAGAAACGGUCCAGACUCCUACGGGAGGCAGCAGUAGGGAAUCUUCCGCAAUGGGCGAAAGCCUGACGGAGCAACGCCGCGUGAGUGAUGAAGGUCUUCGGAUCGUAAAACUCUGUUAUUAGGGAAGAACAUAUGUGUAAGUAACUGUGCACAUCUUGACGGUACCUAAUCAGAAAGCCACGGCUAACUACGU
rnacentral:rRNA from 1 species